GGGACUCGGGGAUGACAGCCUGUUUGCUUAACACGCUUUUUAGAAGACAUGCUUGCAAGCUAUUAGUUAGCUUCCUUCUUCCCUCCCUGUCCCCACCACCCUAACCGCUCCUCACACUGUAAUUUGGCAGCGGCUGCUUGCAGGCCUGCUGUGCGCUUGGUCCCUGACUGACUCAGAUGCAGAUGGCAGCAGAGGCAGCCACAGGAAGUGGGAUGCAGCCUGUCACCUCUGAGACUGGCUUGUGCUUGUCAACCUCGCUGUGGACCCUGUGAGGCUACAGGCGGUGAGCCCUUUGAGGGCCAGAAGCGUCUUUAUGCACCUCUUCUCUCACCAACACAUGGGACAGAGAAUGUGACUAGCUAACAUCUACCGAGUGUCUCCUGUCCCACAGGCCAGGGACUCUGCCAGAAACAGAUGUUAUUACAGUGGAGGUCAGCCGCUGACGUGUACCAGCUGCGGGAUUCGGAGCUCCCUGCUGACGGAUGGGCUUCACCUUUCCAGUCCAUUUCAGAAAUCUGAAGACCAGAGCUGGAAGGAUCUUUGGAGGUCAGCAAGGUCAAGUUCCUUUAUUUGCAGAUCAGGACUGACUGCAUCAGAAUGGCGGUUCAAAAUGGCUGAAUAACCUCCCUACCACAGUUGGGAAGACAAGAAAUUGUGCCCACGCAGCCAUCAAGCAGUCCAAUUAUAUUUUUUCACUUCAUUCCGCAAAAAUAAGAAAAAGAAAGAAAAAGAAAGAAAAAAAGCCAGCCAGCCUUGAGCUGUCUUGAAAACUCUUUGAAGUGUAGAUUUUGCGUUAAAGCUACAUCUUGUAGCUGUAGGAUGGGGCAGUGGGAAGAGAAAGGAGUGAGGAAGGGUACCAGAAGUUUGGCAAAAUGGGAUCAGGUGACCAUCUGUUUGACUGCAAGACACGAGAAAAAAGGCUAAGCCAUAAGAGUUAGUGACACAUGAGAGAAGAGGGGAGGAAUUGCCUGGAACAGCAACGUCCACAGAUAACCUGAGACUCUACAAAACUAUGGGAAUUGGUAAAGGAAUUUGGUCAUUUUCUCCAGAUCCCCAGGACAACAAGAAAGGAGUCAUAGACCUGGGUUCAAGCCCUGGCUAAGCCACUUACUUUUGACCGUGACCCUGAUGAAGCCAGUGACUCUCAAACUUGAGCACCAUCGGAAUCACCCUGGAGCGCUUGUUCAAACACAGAUUUCUGGUCUUACCUCCAGGGUCGCCGAUUCUGUGGGUCUGGACUGAGGCCUGAGAAUUUGCAUUGCUAAUAAUUUCUGGGUGAGGUUGCCACUGCUGGUGGUCCAGGGACUGUCUUUGGAAACCAUUGGGAUAAGCUAUUAAUCUCUUGCAACUUCCUUUUUUUCCCCAUAGGUAAAAAGAAAAUAAUCAUGGGCUUAGGGUCUGCUGGGAUUUGAAGGAUCUUGUGAAUUCAACCCUCUCCCUCUGUAGAUGAGGAAACCGAGGCUCAGAAAAGUGAGGACACCAAUCCUUGUUGGCAGAACCAGGAUAAAAACCCAGCAAGAUGGCGACCGGCAGAAGUGGCUGGCAUGUGUUCUGGGCUGGCCCUCUAAAGAAGCUGAAGACUGGGCCCAACCUACAACAACCAACAAGAAUGCCAACAGAUCAGCGACCACGUGGGCAAGCUGCAGUGGUGCCUGACCCCCUACACAGACCUUCAGAGUCAAUUGCUGCUGCUUCCUGUCUGCUUUCCAAAUCUCAGACAAAUUACCUUGUGACCCACCCUAACUCAGGACGAGGCAGGGAAGGGAAUUCUGAGAAACGUAGUUCCAGCUUGGCUUAAUUUACCCUACGGAACCACCACACACGGUGACAAUUAUUUUACAGACAUUAUUUCAUUUGUCUUCAAAGCAACCUCCUAUGGCAAGAGCUCGAGUUUACAGGUGGGGAAACGAAGGUUUCAGAGGCUACAUAACUUGUCUAAGAUAUAAACUUGCUUAAUGUGCAAGGGGUUUUGAAGUCAGAUCUCUGUGACAUUAAACCUGUGUUCUCACCCCUGCAUGACAGUAUACACUGAUUUUUCUCUAAGUGUUCCUCUGUCUACUCUCAUGGAAACUGUCACUGGCAUAAGUAAAAGGCUUCACACAGACUGCUCUAGGCAUAUCAGACACCCCAGAUGCUUUUCUCACCUUUCCUCAUUCCCUAGACCAGAGCUUCCUCGCUGAGGAGCUGCCAUUAGAUCAUAGGCCUGCUGGGGAUAGGCCUGGGGCAGGCGGAGCCCCUGUGAAGGUCACCUCCAGCUCUUGGCAACCUCAUGGGUUUACCCCAGUGGGUGCCAUGACGUGAAGGCCGGGGAGCAUUAGUAUGGUCUCCCAGGACAUACCUCACCUCACAGGGGUGGAAUUUACCAUCCUCUGGGAAAUGAACCUAAGAGAACUUAUGUGCAGCCUGUUAGCGUGAGAGAUACUGGCUGGAGCCUGCGGAGGAGGAAGUCUUCACGUGACACUGUCAAACUCCCGGCAGGCAGACAGGUGUCUUGGUUUUGAUUUUCGUUUUAUAAACAUUUUUCCUGCCUGUCAGUUCUCCAAAUAGAGCCAAACUCAUCUCCAUGGCAGCUGAGGCGUGAGAGCCCUAGUGAAUAUGUCAGAGCUGAGGAGAACGCUCCACUCCAAAACAGGCGUAAAAGGGAGGAAAGAAAGAGGUUUGCUCUUAUCGCAGAGUCUGGACAAUAUUGAGUAUGGCAGAGUGGUCGAGACCAGAGGUUCUGCGGUCAGACGCCUGGUCUGAAUUCCAGGUGCGCCAUCACAGAAAGACUUUGAGCAAUGACUUACUAAGAAGUGAGGCCCUUACGAAGAUGUAUGAUAUAUGUAGUGGAUUAUAUGUAUAUAAUAUGGAUUAUAUUAUAUAAUGUAAUGUAUGUAAAUAUACGUAAUAUGUAAUAUGCAUAUAUGUAAAUAUACACUUAUAAUUAUAUAAUACUGAACUUGAAUACACC
ensembl:lncRNA